ACUCAACACGGGGAAUCUCACCAGGUCCGGACAUCGGAAGGAUUGACAGACUGAUAGAUCUUUCAUGAUUCGGUGAAUGGUGGUGCAUGGCCGUUCUUGGUUGGUGGAGUGAUUUGUCUGGUUUAUUCCGUGAACGAGCGCAACCACAGCCUCUAUUUUGGCCGUACGAAAGGCUACUGCCCUGUGUGUGGYGUGUUUACGCACACUGUGCGCAGGGUGCGUAUGUGAAUUUGCCACUAAUCGUGCUGGCACGCUAAGUUUCCAUCAUGUGGGUGAUGCACGUGUGCGUAUCUCUGUGAGACAUGUGUGUGUUGUUGAUGUGCAUUCCAAACGCUGUUGUGCUGCGCCAGCAUGUAUGCUGGCAAUGGACUAGAUGACGAUCGUGAUGACUCGCCAGGCUGUCCGUUGUACUGUGUUGGUGAUUUGUGUGUGGCAGCGGUGCGUCAAUGGUGCGCACAUGUUCUUGCAGUAGGAUGCGUUACUGUGCACUGUUUGUGUGGUGGAAAUGUGUCAGAUAUAUGUCGAUUGGUGGGUGUUCGUGCGCCUUCAUAGAGGGACUACCGGUGGCAAAUCGGUGGAAGUGUGGCAAUAGCAGGUCAGUGAUGCCCUUCGAUGUUCUGGGCUGCACGCGUGCUACAAUGGUUACGACAAUGAGUGUGUUUUCUGCRUCGAAAGRUGUGGGUAAUCUUCUGAAUCGUCGCCGUGCUGGGGAUUGAGCCUUGAAAUUAUUGCUCAUGAACCUGGAAUUCCUCGUAAGUACGAGUCACCAGCUCGUGCUGAAUACGUCUCUGCCCUUUGUACACACCGCCCGUCGCUACUACCGAUUGAAUGAUUUGGUGAGGGCAUGGGAUUGAUCGGCCUCGUCAUCUCUUUAUGGGAUGUGUAGACUGGUCGAGAGCCUGUCCAAGCUGCAUCAGUCAGAGAAG
rnacentral:rRNA from 1 species